rnacentral:snoRNA from 1 species
CUGCAGUUAAUUAGGACUGCUAUGCUCUUUUCCCUGUAAGGGUCCAGGGUCCAGUGGCUCCAAGCAGCACCUUCUGGGUAGUGUAUCAGCCUUAGGGGCUUCAGAGAGAGCC